ensembl:snoRNA
AGUACAUUUCAUAGGUCAUUUCAAAGCUGUGAAACCAGGAUAUCUUGACAUUGUGAUUGAACACUGACAUUCUCCAUAGGAUGCCACAGUCCUACUCAACAAUGCUGUGCGCUCCUAAGGUAACAUAAGA